GAAUAUUGGGCAAUGGGCGCAAGCCUGACCCAGCAACGCCGCGUGAGGGAAGAAGGUCUUCGGCUUGUAAACCUCUGUCCUUGGGGAAGAAGAAAGUGACGGUACUAAAGGAGGAAGCUCCGGCAAACUACGUCCCAGCAGCCGCGGUAAUACGUAGGGAGCAAGCGUUGUCCGGAAUUACGGGGCGUAAAGGGUGCGUAGGCGGCAUGGCAAGUCAGAUGUGAAAUCCCCGGGCUUAACUCGGGAAUUGCAUUUGAAACUACCGUGCUUGAGUGCAGGAGAGGAAAGCGGAAUUCCUAGUGUAGCGGUGAAAUGCGUAGAUAUUAGGAGGAACACCAGUGGCGAAGGCGGCUUUCUGGACUGUAACUGACGCUGAUGCACGAAAGCGUGGGGAGCAAACA
rnacentral:rRNA from 1 species